rnacentral:rRNA from 1 species
AGUGAACGCUGGCGGUAGGCCUAACACAUGCAAGUCGAACGGCAGCACAGUAAGAGCUUGCUCUUACGGGUGGCGAGUGGCGGACGGGUGAGGAAUACAUCGGAAUCUACUUUUUCGUGGGGGAUAACGUAGGGAAACUUACGCUAAUACCGCAUACGACCUACGGGUGAAAGCAGGGGAUCUUCGGACCUUGCGCGAUUGAAUGAGCCGAUGUCGGAUUAGCUAGUUGGCGGGGUAAAGGCCCACCAAGGCGACGAUCCGUAGCUGGUCUGAGAGGAUGAUCAGCCACACUGGAACUGAGACACGGUCCAGACCCCUACGGGAGGCAGCAGUGGGGAAUAUUGGACAAUGGGCGCAAGCCUGAUCCAGCCAUACCGCGUGGGUGAAGAAGGCCCUCGGGUUGUAAAGCCCUUUUGUUGGGAAAGAAAAGCAGCAGGUUAAUACCCCGCUGUUCUGACGGUACCCAAAGAAUAAGCACCGGCUAACUUCGUG